rnacentral:rRNA from 3 species
AGACCCGAAACCCGGUGAUCUAGCCAUGGGCAGGUUGAAGGUUGGGUAACACUAACUGGAGGACCGAACCGACUAAUGUUGAAAAAUUAGCGGAUGACCUGUGGCUGGGGGUGAAAGGCCAAUCAAACCGGGAGAUAGCUGGUUCUCCCCGAAAGCUAUUUAGGUAGCGCCUCGUGAAUUCAUCUCCGGGGGUAGAGCACUGUUUCGGCUAGGGGGCCAUCCCGGCUUACCAACCCGAUGCAAACUGCGAAUACCGGAGAAUGUUAUCACGGGAGACACACGGCGGGUGCUAACGUCCGUCGUGAAGAGGGAAACAACCCAGACCGCCAGCUAAGGUCCCAAAGUCAUGGUUAAGUGGGAAACGAUGUGGGAAGGCCCAGACAGCCAGGAUGUUGGCUUAGAAGCAGCCAUCAUUUAAAGAAAGCGUAAUAGCUCACUGGUCGAGUCGGCCUGCGCGGAAGAUGUAACGGGGCUAAACCAUGCACCGAAGCUGCGGCAGCGAACGUAUCACCCAAGACAACUUUACGGAGUUGACGAUUGACGGAGCGAAGCGACGUCAAAGCGUUCAUUAAAGUCGAGUUGGCUUAGGGAUACGUUCGUUGGGUAGGGGAGCGUUCUGUAAGCCUGUGAAGGUGUGUCGUGAGGCAUGCUGGAGGUAUCAGAAGUGCGAAUGCUGACAUAAGUAACGAUAAAGCGGGUGAAAAGCCCGCUCGCCGGAAGACCAAGGGUUCCUGUCCAACGUUAAUCGGGGCAGGGUGAGUCGACCCCUAAGGCGAGGCCGAAAGGCGUAGUCGAUGGGAAACGGGUUAAUAUUCCCGUACUUGGUGUUACUGCGAAGGGGGGACGGAGAAGGCUAUGUUGGCCGGGCGACGGUUGUCCCGGUUUAAGCGUGUAGGUGUGUGUUCCAGGUAAAUCCGGUUCACUUUAACACUGAGGCGUGAUGACGAGGCACUACGGUGCUGAAGCAACAAAUGCCCUGCU